rnacentral:lncRNA from 1 species
UGACCAAGAUCUUGUGGUGCGUAGAGAUCUAUUCAGUCACAGACAGUGGCAGUAUGUUUGGGUUUUCAUUUCUGCUGAACUCUGUCUGCACCAUUGUAGUUCAAGAUAAAAUAUGUUAGUUUACAGUCUAGUGCUAAUUUAAAGAUGAAUUUUUCAUAUUUGUGAAUAAAAAUUUGAGCUGUAGUUGGAUUAAAAUGUAAUGGAACUCAAAUAAUGUUAUGUCUAUGCUUCUGGAUGCCUUAAUGGUUGACUGGCAAGCCCUUUGGAAAAGACAUUAUUCCAUAUGUCUGUGGGAAAUGCUUCUAGUGGAUUUUUUGGUAUCCUAUAUACAGGUUGGUUAACCUAUAAUCAGUCUAUAUACGAUUUACUGGUUCUGUUGUUUGUAUUCAACGCGACCAAUCUCUACUACUUUUUUCCAAGGAUGGGAAUAUACUUUCUGUUUUUUGGUUGAUCUUUUGAAUAAGUUUUUAUUUUUAUUCCUUAUUUUUUGUGCUUAGACUUGAAUGCAUUAGUAGCCAAGUAUUACUGAAUUGUUUGUUUCUCCUAUUUAUCAUUGGGAGGACUGUAAAAGUAAUGCUUAACAUGUAAUUUUUAUUUGCAUUCUGUGCAAUAUUUGUAUGUUUUGGGUGCAUAUUGAAAAAGUUAUCAUCUAUGUUGUGUUUGAAUUAUUCAUAGCAUCUUUUACCGGAUGAUAAAUGGGGCCAGUUUCCUCUCAUCUGUGGCUUUAGGCAGCUUUCGGUUGAGAUUGUCAAGAACCUAGUUAGCUCAAAUAGGAAUAGGAAAAUGAAUAAAAUUCAAUUAGCUUAUACUUCUCUGUUACUUGAAUAGGAAAUAUGAUGUGUAUAGCAUAACUGUUGAUGCAUCUGAUACUUUAUGCCAGAGAAAGAUCACUCCUUUUUCUUGGCAAUGGUUGUCACUGUUUUACGUUUUUCUGGUUGUCAUCAUUUUACUUUUUGCAGCAGAGUGAUUAUUUUGAUAGAAAAAAAGGGAGGAAAAGGGGAAAAAACUUGUUAAGGAUAUGAAUGAAAUUCUCGGUUGGGGAUCCAAGUAGCUUUAUAAGCCCCCAUCAAUGUGGUUCCUCAAGCCCAACUAAACACACCUGGCCCGGUAGACAAGCAGCCUGUUUUGGAAAUUUAAUCAUUGAAAUUGGGACUUUGUGUGGUUGGGUGCUUUUGAAAUUUUGUAGUUAUGUUACGAGGUAAGAAUUAAAUAAUAACUAGUAGGUAAGUAUUGAAGAAAACCCGUUGAGGGUGGGGUUCCUUUUGCACCUCCGUUGUUGGCAGCUGAUUUGUUCCAGCUGGGGAGCGGGGGGUGUUUUCUUCUUCUUUGUAUACUUUAAGCCUAUUGAAGAAGCUUAUGUCAUAGUUUAGUAAACUGCUUGAUAGGGAGGUAAUCUAGUUACUAAUUCAUAAUCUAGUUUCUUCCAUUGGAAGUUAGCAUUUAUUUGUCUGGAAAUACUCACCACUAAACAUUGGCAUUUUAUGUGCAUAAAUGCUGGCAUUAUGUGCCCUCUUAAUCCAUGAUGGAAGUGCUUUUUUUUUUUUUUUUCCUUUAAAUAUUACAAUUAAUAAAUAAUUUUUUUUGAUAGGUAACAUCAAAAAGAUUGUUUAUUAAUUUUAUUUUUGUAUCUAUAUAUUUUCCAUGAUGUCAAAUUUAUGUAUACAAGUUUACACCUUGGCAAAAGCUGAGAAAUUCGAAGGCCCAGAUUAUUCUAGUUCCUGUGGACAUUAAUGAAGCUGGUGAACUGCUUUCAGUGAGAUGAUUUAGUUUUCUUCGGAAUUGAAACAAGAGUUUCUUCGGAAGGACAGUCAAGGAAAAAUUAUGUCAUGUUUUAGAAAUUAUUGCUCAUAUUUUAAUGGCCUGAUUUUGAUCUUGCUGAUGGAUUUGAAUGUUUGUUCAGAGGAAACUGAUGGCCUACCAAAGCAGUCAGUGGUACCAGCCCCUGAAGCUGUUGAAUCUCCUGAAACUGUUGUAGCUGCAGAGGAAGUUCAUCAGGUGCCAAUGGUAACAGCAAGCAAACCAAAAUACAGGUAUGGUUACACUUGCUUGUCUGUGCCAUUUGUUUGGUACAUAGACAAGAGAGUAACAUUAUUUUGUAUAUAUAUACUUUCUAGUCUUCUUUCAAGGUUGCCUAGGAGAUUGUAUAUGUUUGCAAUUUCAGUGAUUCAUUAAUACUGUCCAUUAGCAGUUUCAUGAUCAUUAAAUGUAUAACAUAUGUGCAGGCAUGAAUAUUACCAGAAACCACAAGAAGUGGUUGUCACCAUAUUUGCAAAAGGCGUACCAGAUGAAAAUGUUGUUGUUGACUUUGGUGAACAAAUAGUAUGGUUCAUCUCAACUCGAUACUUCUCAUUUUUAUUCUGUUUCAUAGUGACUUUGUGUUUUGUUAUUUAGAUCUUCUUCGUAGACAUUGAUUUGAUGAUUAUGCUAAUUCUUCUUUUUGGUUGCUUUGCAGCUGAGUGUCAGCAUUGAUGUUCCUGGUGAUGUUGCAUAUCAUUUUCAACCUCGCUUAUUUGGAAAGGUAAGGCUCAUAUUUCAUGUUGUUAGAAACUACUUUGUAAAUAAGUUUUAUUGGUACCAAACAUUUAGGAAUGGACUAGUGAUUAUCUAAUGCCCAAGAAUUUCUUUAGAUAUUUGAAGAAGCCUAAAAACAAGAAUGUUUUUGGACAAAACUAAGGAAGUGCAUGUGUAUAUACCUGGCCUAUUGACUUAGAGUAUGAUCUCCCUCUGUUUGUUUCUUGGAAAACUUCAGAAAAGGAAAUAGAUCUUGGUUGUGAAUUGUUUUGCUUCUCUUUCCCUUUUUUUUCCUUGGCAGUAACUGAAGAUAUAUGGAAAAUCCUUCCUUAAGUGCGUUGGUAAAAAAUAAAUAGGGGCUUCAAUCUUUUUUAUUUAAUUUUUUGACUGAAAAGGUUUGGGGUACUCUGAAACAGUUAGACUGUGAGUUCUAAGAAUGAUAGCAAUAUCUGUAACAAGUAUUCUGUUCGUGAUGCUUUAUUUGGAAGGCAAAAUAUUGUGUUCCAUUGGUUGAUCUAGUUUUUGUAGUCUAGUAUUAUAGGAAUAUCUAAUUCAUUUCACUUAUUCUGGAUGCUGAGUUUAUCAUCUGGUGUUUGGUUUUGACAAACAGAUAAUACCCGACAAGUGUAGAUAUGAAGUAUUGUCAACCAAAAUUGAAAUCCGACUUGCAAAAGCUGAAGAAAUUCAUUGGACUUCUCUUGAAUUCAGCAAGGAAAAUACAGUUCCACAGAGGAUAAAUGUAUCUACAAGUAAGUUGUUAGGCUUGUAAACUGCCCUUCUUUUAAUCCACCCAGAGAUUGAGCAGGAGAAGAUUUAAUUACCACCCCCCACCCCAAGUUGCUUCCAAAUUAUGGGUCUAAAAACCAGAACUAGGAUAAAUUAACAGUUGCAGCAAUUUGACAGUGUUUCGAGGUUGAAGACACUGAUAAUCGAUAUAUCAAUUUUCUCUGCUGCUUCUGAAAAUAUAUAUCAUGUUUACUUUCACUUUGUACAGUAGCUCUUUGUUCUUGUCCUGCUUCCUUAAUGCUGAGUUUUCUUCAUAUUUAUCACUGUUGCAAACCGCAACCAUAUAUAUAUAUAUGUAUGUAUGUAUGCAAUUUUUUUUUUCUUUUAUUCUUUUGGGUGUCUGAGUGAUACUGUCUCCUAAAUUGAAACCUCAUUUUAGAGGCCAUGUUUUUGUUUGAUACCAAGUAAACUGAAAAAUUCAUCCUGAAAAUACUAUUCUAUAUCUACAUGGAAAGAAGAACCCAUUGGACACGAUAUCUAUCCAAUGUCAUUUAGUGAGGAUGUUCUUAUGCUUGUGUGUCUAUCCUUGUUAAGCUCACAUCCAGGAUCAUCAGUUUCACAACUCCUGGAUCUGUUUAUACCAUCAAGAUCCAUCAGCCCAGCACACACUUUAUUUGCCCUCCCUCAUCUGUAAAAAACCAUCAAAUUUCAGAACACUCAUGGCAUUCUAUGGAGGACAAGUGCAUCCCUUGAUGUGGUUACUCUCCUUGAUUGCAUGUUGUGGGUCAAUGGAGUAUGUGAAAUGAUUACAUCUAUAAUCCCAUUUUAAGACUUGCAGUCUUCACUUAAUUGCUAGCAAGGGUAGGUUGCUUCCUCAUAAUGCAGUUUUGAGAAUGCAGUCUUCACUUAUUGCUAUCACUAAUAAACAGCAUCCUCAAAAUACAAUUUUUGUUUUUAUAUAGUGUUGCAAUUGGAGAAGAGCACAUAAAAGAAUUGCUGUGUGAUAUUUGCAGCAGUGACAAAUCUCAACAUGGCAAACGCGACAAUAGAUUUGGUAUUUCUUUUGCUUUCGUAACAAUCUGUUGAUGCUUCUCCAAGAUUAUAACAUUUUGGAAGAACAGAGGACAUUGAGUGAUCGAUUAUUAAUGUGUUUGCCUGAAGAGAAUUUGUUAGCUUGAAAAUCUUGACAAUAGAAUUGGUAUUUCUUUUGCUUUUGUAUCAAUAUGUUGAUGCUUCUCCAAGAUUGUAACAUUUUGGAAUAACAGAGGACAUUGAGUGAUUGAUUAUUAAUGUGUUUGCCUAGAGAGGAUUUGUUAGCUUGAAAAUCAUGAUCCUGUUACCAUUUUGCAGCAUAAAGUUUCCUAUCAUGCUA